UACGGAGGGUGCAAGCGUUAUCCGGAUUCACUGGGUUAAAGGGUGCGUAGGUGGGCAGGUAAGUCAGUGGUGAAAUCUCCGGGCUUAACCCGGAAACUGCCAUUGAUACUAUCUGUCUUGAAUACCGUGGAGGUGAGCGGAAUAUGUCAUGGUAGCGGUGAAAUGCUUAGAUAUGACAUAGAACACCAAUUGCGAAGGCAGCUCACUACGGCGAAUAUUGACACUGAGGCACUGA
rnacentral:rRNA from 1 species